GAUGAACGCUGGCGGCGUGCCUAAUACAUGCAAGUCGAGCGAACGGACGAGAAGCUUGCUUCUCUGAUGUUAGCGGCGGACGGGUGAGUAACACGUGGCUAACCUACCUAUAAGACUGGGAUAACUUCGGGAAACCGGAGAUAAUACAGGAUAAUAUUUUGAACCGCAUGGUUCAAAAGUGAAAGACGGUCUUGCUGUCACUUAUAGAUGGAUCCGCGCUGCAUUAGCUAGUUGGUAAGGUAACGGCUUACCAAGGCAACGAUGCAUAGCCGACCUGAGAGGGUGAUCAGCCACACUGGAACUGAGACACGGUCCAGACUCCUACGGGAGGCAGCAGUAGGGAAUCUUCCGCAAUGGGCGAAAGCCUGACGGAGCAACGCCGCGUGAGUGAUGAAGGUCUUCGGAUCGUAAAACUCUGUUAUUAGGGAAGAACAUAUGUGUAAGUAACUGUGCACAUCUUGACGGUACCUAAUCAGAAAGCCACGGCUAACUACGUG
rnacentral:rRNA from 1 species